CCUGUCCUGGUCUAAUUUUGACUAGACCUUAUCUAUCCCCAAUCUACUUCUUCAGUAAACCUAGACUCAUCACGUUCUUCUUCUUAUUUCUCGUUCCUCUUCCUCAAACCCUAGGUUCACUCUGUAAUUCGAAUUUAUUUAUAAUAAGUUAAUGUAUUGAAGAUCAACAAUGGCAUUCUCGUCUCCACUGGGUUUAGGAGCACAACUAAUUGGUGGUAGGCGUCGCCGACGUCCACACAGCAAGAAGAAGGUUGUGAAAGGAAACAACUUAUCUAGUAAUAUUUCUAGGUUUCAAACUCAUGGUCAUAGUCAGAAAAAGAA